UCGGUCGUGAGGCCGACGCUGAAAGAAGCGGAGAGCGAAUCCGCGAGUCGACGUACAGGAAGCGCCCUUUCCAGGAAGUCGGGGCGUGGCGGAACAGGCGAAGUCACCCAGGGCGAGCGGGCGGACAACCGCGAAGCUCUCGCGACCAAGGGGUGGCGGCGUAUUUCCGACGGCUGCGCGGAGAAAGUCACGAAC
rfam:Anaeromyxobacter sp. RBG_16_69_14 RBG_16_scaffold_4409, whole genome shotgun sequence.